ACUUAAUUUUAGGGUGCUAUCAAAAUGAUCCAGUAAUUGCGGAAAUGUAAAGAAAAUAUUUAAUUGUGUCUUACACUUAUUUUCUUCUCAUGUGAUUUCUAUUCAGUCAAGAAUCCUGAUUUCCUGUCAUUGUCCGGGGAACAGCCUGAGAAAACCCUUCAGUGGGCUUCAGCAGGGCAUAUCCAAUUCGUCGUCAGGCACAGGGCUCGAGCUAUUCAUCUUGUUUUUCGACUUUAUUGUUCUCAAUGUUGACAAGAAUGAACCGGCAGAGGAUGAGGCAGAGAAUGAGGCAGAGCAUGAGACAGAGGACAGGACGUGCUCUGGCUGCUGCUGCGCUGCUGUUGUUCAGGGGAAAAAUGUUCCAAGUUUUCUUUGAACAAUCCACUUUGAAGGCAUAAAUUAUGCCUUCAGUUUUCACUGUGUGUGCAUGAGUUGUUGGCUGUCAGCUGUCGCCAAGCCGGGCCCCUGCCUCUGCCUCUGCCUCUGGCUCUGGCCACCGCCUUAGCUUCUUCCCAGAUUCUGUGUCCCUGCCAUCUCAUCCUGGCCCUUCCUUCAUUGCAGUCACAAAAGCUUAACUCGCCUUUUGUGCAAAAAGUUUUCGGGCUCGUUGGACGGCUGCAGCCCCUCGGCAUAAGAAAACAAUCUUCAAGGGUUGUCUCUGUCAGUGAGUCUGCCCGACAGCCAGGCAGACACUGUUCGGUAGGUUCUGCUCUGUUCUCUGCCUCUCUUUUGNUGGGGGGGGGGGGG
rnacentral:lncRNA from 1 species